rnacentral:rRNA from 1 species
ACGAACGCUGGCGGCAUGCCUAACACAUGCCAGUCGAACGAGACCUUCGGGUCUAGUGGCGCACGGGUGCGUAACGCGUGGGAACCUGCCCUUAGGUUCGGAAUAACUCCCCGAAAGGGGUGCUAAUACCGGAUAAUGUCUUCGGACCAAAGAUUUAUCGCCUUUGGAUGGGCCCGCGUUGGAUUAGCUAGUUGGUAGGGUAAAAGCCUACCAAGGCGACGAUCCAUAGCUGGUCUGAGAGGAUGAUCAGCCACACUGGGACUGAGACACGGCCCAGACUCCUACGGGAGGCAGCAGUGGGGAAUAUUGGACAAUGGGCGAAAGCCUGAUCCAGCAAUGCCGCGUGAGUGAUGAAGGCCUUAGGGUUGUAAAGCUCUUUUACCCGGGAUGAUAAGGACAGUACCGGGAGAAUAAGCUCCGGCUAACUCCGU